rnacentral:rRNA from 1 species
CAGCCGCCGCGGGAAUACGAAGGGGGCUAGCGUUGUUCGGAUUUACUGGGCGUAAAGCGCACGUAGGCGGAUCGAUCAGUCAGGGGUGAAAUCCCAGAGCUCAACUCUGGAACUGCCUUUGAUACUGUCGAUCUGGAGUAUGGAAGAGGUGAGUGGAAUUCCGAGUGUAGAGGUGAAGUUCGUAGAUAUUCGGAGGAACACCAGUGGCGAAGGCGGCUCACUGGUCCAUUACUGACGCUGAGGUGCGAAAGCGUGGGGAGCAAACAGGAUUAGAUACCCCAGUAGUCCCUGUCUCUUAUAC